rnacentral:rRNA from 1 species
UACGGAGGGUGCAAGCGUUGUCCGGAUUUAUUGGGUUUAAAGGGUGCGUAGGCGGUCGAAUAAGUCAGUGGUGAAAUCCUGCAGCUUAACUGUAGCAUUGCCAUUGAUACUGUUUGACUUGAGUACAGACGAGGUAGGCGGAAUUGAUAGUGUAGCGGUGAAAUGCAUAGAUACUAUCAAGAACACCGAUUGCGAAGGCAGCUUACUAGGCUGUAACUGACGCUGAGGCACGAAAGCGUGGGGAGCAAACAGG